UAAUCACUUGUCUAUUAACUGUAGACCUGUAUGAAAGGCAAAAUGAGGGUCUAACUGUCUCUUAUAAUUAAUCAAUUAAACUGAUCUCCCAGUACAAAAGCUGGAAUACACUCAUAAGACCAGAAGACCCUGUGAAGCUUUAACUAAACUAUCAAACCUCAUGAUAACUAGUUUCGGUUGGGGCGACCUUGGAAAAAAAAAGAACUUCCAAACACAAUAGGCUAAACCCACUAAACAGGCCGACAGGCCAAACAACGACCCAGCACCGCUGAUUAAUGAAACAAGUUACUCCAGGGAUAACAGCGCCAUCUUCUUCAAGAGCCCAUAUCAAAAAGAAGGUUUACGACCUCGAUGUUGGAUCAGGACAUCCUAAUGGUGCAGCAGCUAUUAAGGGUU
rnacentral:rRNA from 1 species